rnacentral:lncRNA from 1 species
ACACCAAAACAAAUUCCUGGUAUGUAACCUGUUACUACCAAGGCAAUAAAACCGAUUCUGAUUUGGAAUGUGGAAGAAGUUAGAAGCCAAAGUGAUCAGCUGGUGGGGAACAGAUCCAUAUGCAUUUGCUGGAUCUAGCCUAACUACAUGGAGGUCUGAUUUCAUGCGUUUGGCUGGAUUUGCUUUGAGAUCAUAGUGAAGUGCUUGGCAGAACCCCGGCACCCCUUCUUUCUGGCAGCUUGUGUCGAUAUUGUUGUUGGCAAGGAGGUAGCUGGUGAUGCUUUUUGCCUCUACUGCAAAGAAAAUCUUCCCUUCCAUGUUGAAAAGGGCAUUUUCUCUAAACUAGGAGAUGUUGUUGAAAUCUAUUACUUUUAGGAUGGACAUGUUGACAGCUCUAUUCCAUGCCACUAGGAUAGAUUGGUGUAUGAGGCAAAGCUGUCUUGUUGUUUUUCUUGUAGUUCUUUAUAGUAUUUCCCUGACAUUUAUAGUUAUCAUGUGUCAUCAUGAUUAAAGAAAUACAAAUUGUAAUGGAGGAAACAUGUAAGUUACCGUCGCUUUAAGAGAGUGCACUGUUACAUAUUCCAGGCAGUCAUAGACUGUACAUAAACAUGGACGUAGCGUCUGUGACAUCACCCAUUGGUUUCUGCAGGCCGGUUUUGAAACCCAAUGUGGGAGGUUAGCCGUCGCCAUCUUGGCAGGGCCUAACUCCUCCUUUACCCGGCUAAUCCAAAUAUAGACAAAGAAGUGGGCCGAAUGCAGACCGGUCGCUGAAACACGCCCAUCCACAUCCAGUGCGAUCUGGCUAGUGCCGCGGCCCUGAGGCUGCACCGGGUCGGUAUUGACUGUGGUAACAUGAGCUCUGGUACCAGUCUUCCCAGCCAACGCUAUAUGUGUCACAAUGUGGAUGUGGUGAUGAGUUUGUCCGUCGAGGUGUCCAGAGAGCUGCAGACCUUGGCGUGCUGUGUUUGGCUUGUGGACUGGGGUGGAAAAGCCUUCUUCCACUCUGUUUCCACACCGUGAGGAAGAGCAGCAGCUGACGUCCUCAUCAUCCACUGUGGUGACGACAAUCUAAGGGGGGGUCAGUAGCAUCAGGCUGGUCAACAUGAGGAGAACCUGCAGCAGACUUACCUCCAGCACCUUGGGAAGGUGACCAGUAACUGCCACAGUUGGUAGUGUCACUGCUAUUGAAUUUGGCCUUCAGGACACACUUCGUUAAGCCUAAACAUGUCCCUGACUUUCAUGGAC